UAAAUAGUAUUUUAUUUAUUAUACAUAACUGUCCUUUGAGAAUUCUUUAAUUUAACCAAAUUGACCUAGUAUUCUACCUCCAUUCUCCACUGCUUAAAAUAUCAAGCUUCUUUCAAUUCCUGUAAUACUUUUCACAUGAGGCAUUUUCGUUUCUCCUAGUUUUUCAUCAUGCCUCUCCUUGGACCUGAAAUUUGUUGCAUUUAGUUUCUAUAGUUUUGCCUUUGCCUUUACUUAUAUAAUACCAGACUCAAUAACCCAUUAGAGAUUUUAGAAUCUGUGACUAUAUCUCUAAAAGAAGUAAUAGAAUCUUGAGGAAAGGAAGUUUAACUGGCAUUCUAAGGUGCUAACUGGAAUUCUGAGAGAGACUUGUGAGGCAUAAAGACAGACAUGGUGGCUCUGCUCAACCGUGGAAAUAAGUACAUGUGCUGCUUGGGGAAACCUGAACUUGACCCUCAGCUCCUUGCUUGUAUUUCUUCCAAGAGUAAUACUGAAAAGUGUGUCUCUAGCCUUGAAGGCAGCUAAGUGAGUUUGAGAAAUUGGAAGUUCUUGGGGUCAUAGCUGAGGAACAGCCAGAGGUUUCCAUAACUCUGCCAUUCUCAGAAAAGAUCUCCACAAAGGAAUGGGAUUGAUAUCUAGCCUCAUUGGACAGAAAGCAUGGACUUUGCAGAAGUUGUUUGGGCAGUACAAGGCUAGAGUGAAGAGCAGAAGUCAAUCUGUCUAGAGACACUUACAGAGACAGUUUGAAUCAGCAUGGAGACAAGCAGAUGAGCAGUCAGCAUAUGAGAGAGAUGGGCAGAAAAGCAGUGCGGGAAGUCAGGGGAAGACAGGGAACCACCAUUGUUUCUACCUUGGAAUCAUCCCUGCUUUCAACACCUGCAUCAAAUCAGUCAGCAGGUCUCAUCAAUCCUUCAUCAACAACAUUACUAUUAUCCAUCAUCUUUUCUCUCAGAGAGUGUACCAUUGCUGAAGUCUUCAAUUCCUUUUCCCUGGAAUUUUUAAUUUGCUUCCUAAUCCAUCCUUUAUACAGUUGCCAAAUUGAGAUUCCUAAUAUAUAUUGGAGCAUGUGACCCCCUACUCAUUCAUUUCCAAUAACUUACUAUUGACUCAAGGAUAAAAUCCAAUACCCUCAAUUAAUGUUGUUUGUUUUUAUUAUUGUUGCAUGAGUUAUUUUCCAGGUUCUGUUCAUUUUUCUCUGCAUCAAUUCUUCCAAUACUUCUCCAAAACCAUCUCUUUCAUCAUAGAAUGAAAUAUGUUAAUAUUUCAUGGCAUUUAUAUACCAUAAUUUAUUUAGCCAUUCUCCCCAGUUGCUGGACAUUUGCUUAGUUUCCAGUUCUUUGCCAAUAUAAAAAAAAAAGAGUUCCCAUAAUUAUUUCUUUAAAUAUGAGUCUAUUUAUAAAACUGUGCAUACCCUUUGAUCUGGUAAUGCUAUUCCCAGGUCUGUAUCCCAAAGAGAUAAUUAAAAAUGGGAAAAGACCCACUUGUAAAAAUAUUAAUAGCUGCUCUUUUUGUGGUGGCAAAGGAUUGGAAAUUGAGUCAAUGUCCAUCAAUUGGGGAAUAAACAAAUUGUGGUACAUGUUGUAAUAAAAAAA
ensembl:lncRNA